rnacentral:rRNA from 1 species
UACCAGCACCCCGAGUGGUCGGGACGAUUAUUGGGCCUAAAGCAUCCGUAGCCGGUUCUGCAAGUCCCCCGUUAAAUCCAGCUGCUCAACAGAUGGGCCGCGGAGGAUACUCCAGAGCUAGGAGGCAGGAGAGGCAAGCGGUACUCAGUGGGUAGGGGUAAAAUCCGUUGAUCCAUUGAAGACCACCAGUGGCGAAGGCGGCUUGC